rnacentral:lncRNA from 1 species
AAGUCGAAGUCGUCCACACUAUCUAAACCUUUCGGUACUCUUGUAAAUGAACCUUGAUAAUGGCAUGUAUAGGAUUGACUUUUGAUGUUAAUUACGUAUCUUUUUGGUGAUGUAUAUAUGUAUAGCCAUGCGAAAAUGGCUUGUUAAGUUAUUAUAUGCGCUCCACAUAAUUAAUGUGUAUGUGUGGAUGAUAAUCGAUUAAUGUUUUAAAUGUUUUGAUGUGAAUUAAACUUAGGAAUGAAUUAA